GCACGCUUCUGAACCAUAGGAUCCUUUCAAUUUGUUUUAAUCUCACGUGUUGGUUUUGAUUACCAUCCUUGUAGCGUAUUGACUAGAGUCCAUCAUGGAACGCACGUUGAGAUCCACUUGAUCUACCACCUCAAUUAAUGAGGGAGAUCAAGUGGUCCACGUAUUUUUGCAAUUUCUGAUUUUUAGUUUUAUUGUUUUCUUUUCAUUAAUUCAUAUUAAUUUUAAUAUUGAUCCAAA
rnacentral:lncRNA from 1 species